ensembl:lncRNA
UCCGGUUUGAAGCCCCGCCCCCUUUAUGUGGCCCCGCCCACCCAGAGGGGACAGGGGAGGAGCCACAGAGCGAGGCCUUUAUUGGUGACACGAGGUGUGAGUUGACCCCAGGUGACCCCAGGUGACGUGAGGUGACACACGGGGGCGUGACCCUGAGUUGACCCUGAGUGACCCCAAGUGGCACUGGGUGACAUAAGGUGACCUCCGAUGACCCCAAGUGACCCCAGGCACCCCUGGGUGGCACUGGGUGCCAUGAGGUGACCUGGGGUGACACUGGGACUGUCCGAAUCGACACCGGGUGACCCCAGGUGACCCCCAGUGACCCGAGGUGCCCUUGGGUGACCCCAGGUGAUGACCCCCAGUGACCCCAGGUGCCAUGAGGUGACCUGGGGUGACACUGCGUCUGCCCCUGAGUCGACCCCGGGUGACCCCAGGUGAGCUGGGAUGACCCCAGGUGACCCCAGGUGACCUCCGAUGACCCCAGGUGAGCUGGGAUGACCCCAGGUGACCCCAGUGUCACUUGCUGGGCGCCAGCCCGAUGCGGUCGUGGUCGCGAUCGAAGACGACGUAAUUCCGGACCAUGAAAACGUCCCCCAGGAUCCAUAUGGGCCCCGCGGGGGGGGGCACGUCCAGCUCCAUGAACCCACUGACACACGUCGGGGCGCCCGACUGAGACACCUGGGGGGGGGGAUGUGGGGACAGUGGUGGGGGGGCAUAUGGGGG